GACGAACGCUGGCGGCGUGCUCAACACAUGCAAGUCGAACGAUGAACCCGGAGCUUGCUCCGGCGGAUUAGUGGCGAACGGGUGAGUAACACGUGAGUAACCUGCCCUUGACUCUGGGAUAGCUGCGGGAAACUGUAGCUAAUACCGGAUACGACCCUCGGCGGCAUCGCCAGGGGGUGGAAAGAAUUUCGGUCAAGGAUGGACUCGCGGCCUAUCAGCUAGUUGGUGAGGUAACGGCUCACCAAGGCGACGACGGGUAGCCGGCCUGAGAGGGUUACCGGCCACACUGGGACUGAGACACGGCCCAGACUCCUCCGGGAGGCAGCAGUGGGGAAUAUUGCACAAUGGGCGCAAGCCUGAUGCAGCAACGCCGCGUGAGGGAUGACGGCCUUCGGGUUGUAAACCUCUUUUAGUAGGGAAGAAGCGAAAGUGACGGUACCUGCAGAAAAAGCACCGGCUAACUACGUGCCAGCAGCCGCAGUAA
rnacentral:rRNA from 1 species